rnacentral:rRNA from 1 species
AACCUGGUUGAUCCUGCCAGUAGUCAUAUGCUUGUCUCAAAGAUUAAGCCAUGCAUGUGUAAGUAUAAGUAUUGUACAGCGAAACUGCGAAUGGCUCAUUAAAUCAGUUAUAAUUUAUUUGAUAAUCGAAAGUUACAUGGAUAACCGUGACAAAUUACAGCUAAUACAUGCUACAAGACCUCGUCCAAGGGUCGUAAUUAUUAGUACUAAACCAUUUCCGUCAGGAUUGUGAUGAAUCAUAGUAAUCGAACGAAUCGCAAGUAUUUGCGAUAAAUCAUCCAAGUUUCUGCCCUAUCAGCUUUGGAUGGUAGUGUAUUGGACUACCAUGGCAGUCACGGGUGACGGAGAAUUAGGGUUCGAUUCCGGAGAGGGAGCCUGAGAAACGGCUACCACAUCUACGGAAGGCAGCAGGCGCGAAAAUUGCCCAAUCCCGACUCGGGGAGGCAGUGACAAGAAAUAACAACUCUAGCUUAUGUUAGAAGUGUAAUGAGGAUAAUUUACAAACCUUACCGAAUGCAAUUGGAGGGCAAGUCUGGU